UCCAUUUCCUCUAAUAAAUGGUAAAACAAAAAGUAAAUAAAACAAAAAUUUAUGGCUCCAUGUCCACUAGAUGUGUCCUGAUUGUCAACUGCAGCUGUCAAGGUUGCUAGGCGACAGGAGCGGUGUUUCGUGAUGCAAGGGUAAGGGCAGGAACAGCUGGUGACGCAAAUAAGAAAUCCUCCGUAGACCAGACCAUCUCAUUCAAUAACACUCGGUUCGGCCUCCGCAGUCUACGAAGGAAACGCCUUUUGUAGACCGCGUCCUUCGAGGAUGCGGCCCCUGAAUUGGGAUACAGCUAUACUCUAGGUCCCUCUCCAAAGCAACCCCCGCUUCAACUUGUUGAACCAUCUGUAUGAGUAUUGCGCAAUAAUCAGGCAGGAGAUGGCAUAGGAGUGUGGGCUUUCACCAGCUUUGCCUUUGCAAAUAGAGGACAUAAAAGAGAGAAGAGGCAAGAAUGAACAGAAGAGAAAAGAGCCAUGCCAGAAGCGGAGUUUUGACUACAAUCCAAUCAGUCAUUCAAAGCGAGUGAGCCAAGAACCUGUCCACACUGGAACAACAGUCUUUCUUUGGGAGUGCAGGACCUUGUCAUACUGUUUACAUGCUGUGUCUUUGGCUUGCUAAGUCAGGUUUUCAGCACACCCUGUGUGUGCUAGCUUGUAGACCAAACAUUUUGUUUUCCAAAUGAAGAAAUGUACAUUUUGUUUGGUUCAGUUAAUAUUGUGAGUGUCUUCCUUUGACCUUUGUGAUUUUAUCUGUGUAAUUUGUACAUGUUUUAGUUGGGGUCUGCCUCUAUCUACUGUUUUCUCCCAAAGAUGUUCAGUGAAUCAUUAUGUUGCUCGGCCCUCUCGGUUCAUUUGGAAUAAAUGUGAUUUUGAAUUAGUGAGAAAUAG